CCUACGGGAGGCAGCAGUGGGGAAUAUUGGACAAUGGGCGAAAGCCUGAUCCAGCCAUGCCGCGUGUGAGAAGAAGGCCUUCGGGUUGUAAAGCACUUUCAGUGGGGAAGAAAGCCUUGGGGCUAAUACCCUCGAGGAAGGACAUCACCCACAGAAGAAGCACCGGCUAACUCCGUGCCAGCAGCCGCGGUAAUACGGAGGGUGCGAGCGUUAAUCGGAAUUACUGGGCGUAAAGCGCGCGUAGGCGGUCUGAUAAGCCGGUUGUGAAAGCCCCGGGCUCAACCUGGGAACGGCAUCCGGAACUGUCAGGCUAGAGUGCAGGAGAGGAAGGUAGAAUUCCCGGUGUAGCGGUGAAAUGCGUAGAGAUCGGGAGGAAUACCAGUGGCGAAGGCGGCCUUCUGGACUGACACUGACGCUGAGGUGCGAAAGCGUGGGUAGCAAACAGGAUUAGAUACCCCAGUAGUC
rnacentral:rRNA from 1 species